AAAAGAAUGUAACACUUUGAGGG
rnacentral:piRNA from 1 species